AAUGCAGUAAAGGGGGCCAUGUGAUGUCUUUUUUCAGUUUCUCGAUAACCAGUAUGGGGGAUCAGAAGCACAGUUGGUGACUGAUUGGUGAAUUUAACUUCCAUGUUAACCCUCAGUUUUGGGAGCAUCUGCUCUCCCUUUUUCAGCCUGCCCUGAUCUUGGCAUUUUCAGUGUGGACUGCCCCAGGCACACUGGGUCACACUAAGCACUGAAGUUAAAUUAAUAGUGUUUUUUAUGACACAGUCAUAUGAAAUCAACUGAACUCCUUUGUUUUCUUUCAUCUGAGCAGGGUUUCCAGUUUCCAAACCUCACAUAAUCUCCCAGCUCGAACAAGGGGAAGAGCCAUGGGUUCCAGACCUCCAGGGUUCAGAGGAAAGAGAGAUCCUGAGAGUUCCCUGCACAGCAGGUGAUGCAAUGGUAUGUGAGAAAGAGGAGCAGAAUUCUCAGCAGGAAAAUGUUGAGCAAGUGGCUAAACAUAGAGAAUUAUCGCAGAGAUCGAAAAUGAAUGUAUCCAGGAGUCAUGAGCAGGGAAAAUGCUGUGAGAUUCAGCACAGACCAGAAAGAGAGCAAGGAAACCAUCCAGGGGACAAAAUGGAAUCCACACAGGGGAGAGACCCUAUAAACGCAGUGAUUGUGGGAACAACUUCAUUCACCACCAGCAGCUUAUUAGUCAUCAGAGAAUCCACACAGGUAUGAGAUCCAAUGGAAGCAGUGAGUGUGGGAAAACCUUGUCUUGCCACUGAGCCCAUGUGAGCCCUCAGAGAAUCUGCAAGGGGGAUCAACACCAUAAAAUCCUCUAGGGCUAUCACUACUUUAAUACUUUCCUGAUUCCCACAUAGUAAUGUUGCAGGGGGGGCAACAGUUGGGGUUCGUUUGCCCGGUGUGCGUAUCCCCAAUGACCACACCGGAGUGGAGAAGCAAGUCUCUUAAUGUGAGUUCAAAUAAGGUGCUGGGAGAUAUACAAUCUCAAAUCCUGCACAAAUUACUAUCCUCUUCCCUACGGUAUAUACCCCACUUGUUUACAGAGAUGUUCACAGGUGCUACAAUCGAUCAUUUACAAUUCAUUAACUACCAGAUUCUUUAAUUAGCUCCAUCCUCUUCCCACAAUACAGAACCCCCUUUGAUUAAUCACAUCUUAUACCGUAAACAAAGGAACAAAAGAAAAAUAAUAAAUGAUUACAUGUAAUGCUAACUUUAAAGGAACAAAUUGUUUAGCUCGAA